AGAGUUUGAUCCUGGCUCAGAACUAACGCUGGCGGCGUGCCUAACACAUGCAAGUCGCGCGGUUGCCAUUUUGUAGCAAUACAGAAGAAGCGAUAGCGGCAGACGGGUGAGUAACACGUACAACAUCUACCUUACCGUCCGGGAUAACCAGCCGAAAGGUUAGCUAAUACCUGAUGCGACUAUCGAGCGGCAUCGUUUGA
rnacentral:rRNA from 1 species